GAUUGAACGCUGGCGGCAUGCCUUACACAUGCAAGUCGAACGGCAGCACGGGUGCUUGCACCUGGUGGCGAGUGGCGAACGGGUGAGUAAUACAUCGGAACAUGUCCUGUAGUGGGGGAUAGCCCGGCGAAAGCCGGGUUAAUACCGCAUACGAUCUACGGAUGAAAGCGGGGGACCUUCGGGCCUCGCGCUAUAGGGUUGGCCGAUGGCUGAUUAGCUAGUUGGUGGGGUAAAGGCCUACCAAGGCGACGAUCAGUAGCUGGUCUGAGAGGACGACCAGCCACACUGGGGCUGAGACACGGCCCAGACUCCUACGGGAGGCAGCAGUGGGGAAUUUUGGACAAUGGGCGAAAGCCUGAUCCAGCAAUGCCGCGUGUGUGAAGAAGGCCUUCGGGUUGUAAAGCACUUUUGUCCGGAAAGAAAUCCUUGGCUCUAAUACAGUCGGGGGAUGACGGUACCGGAAGAAUAAGCACCGGCUAACUACGUGCCAGCAGCCGCGGCAAUACGUAGGGUGCGAGCGUUAAUCGGAAUUACUGGGCGUAAAGCGUGCGCAGGCGGUUUGCUAAGACCGAUGUGAAAUCCCCGGGCUCAACCUGGGAACUGCAUUGGUGACUGGCAGGCUAGAGUAUGGCAGAGGGGGGUAGAAUUCCACGUGUAGCAGUGAAAUGCGUAGAGAUGUGGAGGAAUACCGAUGGCGAAGGCAGCCCCCUGGGCCAAUACUGACGCUCAUGCACGAAAGCGUGGGGGAGCAAACAGGAUUAGAUACCCUGGUAGUCCACGCCCUAAACGAUGUCAACUAGUUGUUGGGGAUUCAUUUCCUUAGUAACGUAGCUAACGCGUGAAGUUGACCGCCUGGGGAGUACGGUCGCAAGAUUAAAACUCAAAGGAAUUGACGGGGACCCGCACAAGCGGUGGAUGAUGUGGAUUAAUUCGAUGCAACGCGAAAAACCUUACCUACCCUUGACAUGGUCGGAAUCCUGCUGAGAGGUGGGAGUGCUCGAAAGAGAACCGGCGCACAGGUGCUGCAUGGCUGUCGUCAGCUCGUGUCGUGAGAUGUUGGGUUAAGUCCCGCAACGAGCGCAACCCUUGUCCUUAGUUGCUACGCAAGAGCACUCUAAGGAGACUGCCGGUGACAAACCGGAGGAAGGUGGGGAUGACGUCAAGUCCUCAUGGCCCUUAUGGGUAGGGCUUCACACGUCAUACAAUGGUCGGAACAGAGGGUUGCCAACCCGCGAGGGGGAGCUAAUCCCAGAAAACCGAUCGUAGUCCGGAUUGCACUCUGCAACUCGAGUGCAUGAAGCUGGAAUCGCUAGUAAUCGCGGAUCAGCAUGCCGCGGUGAAUACGUUCCCGGGUCUUGCACUCACCG
rnacentral:rRNA from 1 species